rnacentral:rRNA from 1 species
UACGUAUGGUGCAAGCGUUAUCCGGAUUUACUGGGUGUAAAGGGAGCGUAGGCGGCGCGUUAAGUCUGAUGUGAAAGCCCGAGGCUCAACCACGGGAGUGCAUUGGAAACUGGCGAGCUGGAGUGCCGGAGAGGUAAGCGGAAUUCCUAGUGUAGCGGUGAAAUGCGUAGAUAUUAGGAGGAACACCAGUGGCGAAGGCGGCUUACUGGACGGCAACUGACGCUGAGGCUCGAAAGCGUGGGGAGCAAACAGG